CCCACCAAACUUUUACUUCGAACCUUCACCUUUCGUUUUUAAACUUAUUUUUUAUAUGCUUUUUACAUAAAAUCGUUGACGUUGAGGUCACCAUUUCGGCAAAAGAUUUUGAAGUGGGGAUAGCAGCAUUCAUUCAAAGGAGCAUUUUUUUAAGCGAUGCAAUACCAAGUUUUUCCAAGCGAAAUUGGAAUUCGUCUAUUUCUCAGCAUCUUUUCUGUUUUUAAGCAUGUAACGGAAACGUCGUGAAUGAAGAAGAUUACUUGACAUAUCGGAAGAAUAUGAUACAUCAAAGAUUCGACUGUAUUACUCUUUCGUACCAUGAACGCCCCAUAUUGCUCGGUGGCGCUAUCCGCAGGAAAUAAAUACGUUUUGACGCUCUUA